rnacentral:misc_RNA from 1 species
UACGUAGGGGGCAAGCGUUGUCCGGAAUUAUUGGGCGUAAAGCGCGCGCAGGUGGUUCCUUAAGUCUGAUGUGAAAGCCCACGGCUCAACCGUGGAGGGUCAUUGGAAACUGGGGAACUUGAGUGCAGAAGAGGAAAGUGGAAUUCCAUGUGUAGCGGUGAAAUGCGUAGAGAUGUCGAGGAACACCGGUGGCGAAGGCGACUUUCUGGUCUGUAACUGACGCUGAGGCUCGAACGCGUGGGGAGCAAACAGG